GAUGAACGCUGGCGGCGUGCCUAAUACAUGCAAGUCGGGCGAACGGACGAGAAGCUUGCUUCUCUGAUGUUAGCGGCGGACGGGUGAGUAACACGUGGAUAACCUACCUAUAAGACUGGGAUAACUUCGGGAAACCGGAGCUAAUACCGGAUAAUAUUUUGAACCGCAUGGUUCAAAAGUGAAAGACGGUCUUGCUGUCACUUAUAGAUGGAUCCGCGCUGCAUUAGCUAGUUGGUAAGGUAACGGCUUACCAAGGCAACGAUGCAUAGCCGACCUGAGAGGGUGAUCGGCCACACUGGAACUGAGACACGGUCCAGACCCCUACGGGAGGCAGCAGUAGGGAAUCUUCCGCAAUGGGCGAAAGCCUGACGGAGCAACGCCGCGUGAGUGAUGAAGGUCUUCGGAUCGUAAAACUCUGUUAUUAGGGAAGAACAUAUGUGUAAGUAACUGUGCACAUCUUGACGGUACCUAAUCAGAAAGCCACGGCUAACUACGUG
rnacentral:rRNA from 1 species